CAAAUGUAAACACAAAACAACUGUCCAAGCUCUACAUCUGCAAACAGCUUGUGGCGUCUCUGUUGUUCCUGACGGCCAUAGCACACCUGGGAGUCACACUAGGAGAAGAUUUUGGUCCAAACAGUGACCAAUCUUCA